GAUGAACGCUGGCGGCGUGCCUAAUACAUGCAAGUCGAGCGAACAGACGAGGAGCUUGCUCCUCUGACGUUAGCGGCGGACGGGUGAGUAACACGUGGAUAACCUACCUAUAAAACUGGGAUAACUUCGGGAAACCGGAGCUAAUACCGGAUAAUAUAUUGAACCGCAUGGUUCAAUAGUGAAAGACGGUUUUGCUGUCACUUAUAGAUGGAUCCGCGCCGCAUUAGCUAGUUGGUAAGGUAACGGCUUACCAAGGCAACGAUGCGUAGCCGACCUGAGAGGGUGAUCGGCCACACUGGAACUGAGACACGGUCCAGACUCCUACGGGAGGCAGCAGUAGGGAAUCUUCCGCAAUGGGCGAAAGCUUGACGGAGCAACGCCGCGUGAGUGAUGAAGGUCUUCGGAUCGUAAAACUCUGUUAUUAGGGAAGAACAAAUGUGUAAGUACCUAUGCACGUCUUGACGGUACCUAAUCAGAAAGCCACGGCUAACUACGUG
rnacentral:rRNA from 1 species